UCGUGCCUCAGUUGGUAAAAAAAAAAAAAAAACACCUUAGCCAACCAGCAUCGAGUGUUCACUUUCAGCGCUGAUGAGUGUUGAAAAGAAACCUCCUAGAGGAGGCAAGCCUCCCUUCUGGCAUCAACCAAUCAUCAUAGAGACGUAAAUUACGUGAUAUUAGUUUGAACGUCUCGCGCUGCACUGACAAGGCACUAAUUACCUAUGAUGAGCAGCGGUAUUGAAUAUUUGAUCGCCAACAGAUUUACCAAGCUGUCAUUCAAACAGUAUAUAUACAUACAAAUUAAAAAACGGGAAAACACGUCCAAGCUGGAUAUAGAAUACAGCAGUCGGCUUAACAGGCAGCUCUCUUUAAACAGACUUUUAAGAAGGGAUGGAUGUUUGCUUUAAGUGACAGGCCAGCUUGGAAGUCAAUUGACCCUUCGCAAAGACCCACCCCCACUUCAUUACUGUUGCUACAUCCCACAAGCCAUGAUGCUCUCACGCAGUGAAAAAUACAUCACAGAGCAAAGAGGAAACAGACAAGCACCGACAUUCAAGACAGAGCUGAUUACUUUAGAAUGAAGGAAGUUCUGCGCUGACAUUGUGGAAAAAGCUGUAGUAAGAGCCAGAUUGCUGGAGAAGCGAGAUUGGUGAACAGAGGAAGUAAUAAUAGCGUGUGUCCUGACUGAUAGGGUACUGGACCCUCUUGUAGUUUCAGCAGUGACACGGUGAAACCGUAUGACAGCUUCAUUGCCUGUCCUGAGAACAAAGAAGUAUUUUAGACCCAAGAAUGCUUUGUUGUUCACUCUGAACCCCCUUUUAAGCAAACAUUCUUAUCUCAGAUCUUGAUAAGAAGGCAAGGCCGCCACCAACUUCCCUCUUCUGACAUCACAGUUUGUAUGGCCGACUGUCCAGCA